CGUUUUAAGCAUGCAAGUCGAACGGUAGAAUGGUGCUUGCACUAUUUGAGAGUGGCGAACGGGUGAGUAACACGUAGAUAAUCUGUCUUAGUAUUGGGGAUAGCCCAUGGAAACAUGGGGUAAUACCGAAUAAUCUUUACCAGUCGAUAGGGCAGGUAAAGGAAAGGUGCUUAGGGAUCGUACUAAGGUGAGUCUGCGGUUCAUUAGCUAGUUGGUGGGGUAAUGGCCUACCAAGGCGACGAUGAAUAGCCGGCCUGAGAGGGUGGACGGCCACACUGGGACUGAGACACGGCCCAGACUCCUACGGGAGGCAGCAGCUAAGAAUCUUCCGCAAUGGGGGGAACCCUGACGGAGCGAUGCCGCGUGAGCGAAGAAGGCGGAAACGUUGUAAAGCUCUUUUCUUGAGGAGGAAUAAUCACAGCAGGUAAUGGUUGUGAGAUGACGUUAAUCAAGGAAUAAGCCCCGGCUAAUUACGUGCCAGCAGCCGCGGUAACACGUGAGGGGCGAGCGUUGUUCGGAAUUAUUGGGCGUAAAGGGCGCGUAGGCGGUUUUACAAGUCUGGUGUGAAAUAUCUCAGCUCAACUGAGGGAGUGCGCUGGAAACUGUAAGACUAGAAUCUAGGAGGGGAAGCUGGAAUUCCUGGUGUAGGGGUGAAAUCUGUAGAUAUCAGGAAGAACACCGGUGGCGAAGGCGAGCUUCUGGCCAUAGAUUGACGCUGAGGCGCGAAAGCGUGGGGAGCGAACAGGAUUAGAUACCCUGGUAGUCCACGCUGUAAACGAUGUGCACUAGGUGUUGGGGAAAGGAUCUUCAGUACCGAAGCAAACGCGAUAAGUGCACCGCCUGGGGAGUAUGCCGGCAACGGUGAAACUCAAAGGAAUUGACGG
rnacentral:rRNA from 1 species